GCGCAGUGGUGUAGUGGUAGUAGCACGCAUCCGUAGUAUGGAUAGAACGCUUGUUCGAUUCACGCCUGAGGUCG